rnacentral:ncRNA from 2 species
UCCUCGCAAGAUCGCGCCGGUGCCCGAAAGGGCUUAAUAUGGGAACGCGGUGAGGCACGCCCGAAAGGCGCGCCGAAUCCGGGGCUGUCCCUGCAACUGUAAGCGGCGAGCGCGAUGCACUGCCCGGAUUCGUCCGGGCGGCCACUGGGGCAACCUGGGAAGGCGUGCAUCGGGCCGUGACCCGCGAGCCAGGAGACCUGCCGGCGUAUUGGUCGCUCU